CGUCACACGCCGCCUGAAAGUUAUUAGGCGGAAGCUCAACUAAAAAGUAAGCUAAUAUAUAAUUUCACAAUCGUCGAGCAUCAUUUCGACGAGCCCAACAGCACACAAAAGGCUACUUUUCAAACACUUUACUGUAGGUUACUUGCCAAUAAUAAAAAGAAGAAAAAAAAGAAGACUUUACUUCAGGACGACGUGCAAGAAAGGACGAGGAUCUGACUGUCAAAAUGGCGGCCAUUUCGUCACUAGUUUGGAAGGAGGUGUCCAAAGAUGUCGUCAGAUCGGACAGAAAGCAUCACUUUGAAGCUGGCUGCUGAUACAUCUCCUACUUCAAGUGUGUCCGUAUGAGGGAGCAGUAUUUAUCGGGACGCCAGGCACGAACUGAUGAGAAGAAAUUUGUAACGUCUGGUGGGCAUCGUGAUGCGGGUGGCGCUCUUUCAAGAUGCGGAUCGGGCUUG